AAUCUCCCUUGACCACAAGUGGCCUGAACUCUUUACAUGAACACCACCCUGUACAUAACUCCAUGUACCCCUACAUGGCCUUGCUUUUUGCUUUUUGAGCCAAAAAAUUAACUAACUAACUAACAUUUGGGGAAAAAUUGGGGUCUCUAUGAUCGUUGACACUUUUCUUAGCAUCAGUUGAUUAAUACUUCCUUGUUAAUCUUAAAUGUUUAAUAAUUAUCUGUUGGGGAAUCCUAGAUUAAAUAACAGGACUAACUUGAAGAAUGUUUUAUCACACACACCUUUCACCUACCCCCACUCCAAAAAAAAGAAACUGAGCUCCACUGUAAAUGUAGGAACACCAACAAAUACCACAAAAUAUGUAUUGUAAUGUAGAAGAUAUAUCAUCUGUAAGUUGAGUCUGACAUGGUCAUUUUUCAAUAGUAUGAUGGAUGAAAUAAAUUCUAGUUGCUGGGGAGGGUAGAAUUACUAAAAAUAUAUAGAGGCAGUGCUCUAGCAAGGUCACAGUCCAAUGGCUGAAAUCUGCAAACAAAUAUACUUUGGUUCCUAAAUUACUAUAGUAGUGGUGUGGUGUUGAGGGAAAUGCUUUUUUUUCUUUUGCUUAUGUUUGAUACUUAGACAUUUAAAGGAAAGUACGAACUUCCUUUCAAUAGCCACACAAACUCUGUCUGGCUCUCUCUCUCUCUCUCUCUCUCCUUCAGAAGCAGUCUGUUCUGUUUCUAUUGUGGCUGUAACCAGUAAGAUUUUUUUGUGUGGUUCUCUUCUUUUGUCUUUGCAUCUAUUACAGGAGAGGGGUUUAACUAUUAUAAACUUGGGUUUUAUUACAUAAAAUGCAUGUGCAUGCAUACAUACAUACCUAUAUAUACGCAUAUACAUACAUCUAUAUACACACACAUGGGGUUUCUCUAUAUUUAGUCUACAUAUCAUUUGAUGUCUGCUUUGCCAUGCUGACAUGGGUUGGACAGAUCUAUUCCAGUAUAUCAUUUUUUUUUUCGUGAUUUUUUCGAGUUGGAAACCCUUCCUUGUAGCAACCACUGCACAGCAUGGACUGGGUAUAUUAUACCGUGCUGCCAGACCUAGAGGUUAUCUGCUGGGACCAAAACCUCUGGUCCGCUUUGUAGUGUAUAAGAUUUUAUUCAAAGUUACUGCUCUCCUGGAUCAGCUGCCCUCGCUGCAGCUUCUAUAACCCUCAUCUCCUCCAUGCAGUUAACACAGACCCCUUUUUUCUUGCUGUCGGUGUUGUUCAUAGUACCCAACUUCUUACAGAUGUAGCCUUUGUUAUGGCUGAGAAGCCAUGUCUCCAAGAUGUUGAGAAUACAUUGAAAUUGUCAUGGCCAAAUUUAUUUACUAUCACCAAUCACUUUAUUUCAUGGAUCUUGCUAAUAAAAGUACUAAGUUUUUUUUUGUGCUAGGACUAAAGUCCUAUAUAUAUACACAUGUAUAUUCCAAGUUCAAAAGAAGUUAUGUCUGACUAUUUAAAAUAGCAAUUUCAAUGAUAAGACUGAAAGCGAAGAGCCAUAAACAAAGCAGAGUGUAUUUUGUCAGACUAAAAGUAGGGGGUCAUUAGACAACCAAGCUGAAUAUUUCGCAGGGUUUGUUCCAAUUUUGCACUCUAACAGAUUCUAUUGUCAAAAUCUGCCUUAUGCAGAUACCUUGUUGUUAAGGUCAGCCCUGUCGGUAUCUAACAUUUACUGUUGAUGAUCUGCAAGGCCGAGUUUACAAAUGACGGUCUAUUUUUGCACCAUUUGUCUCUUUGGCAAUGCCCCUCUUACCAAUCCUCUGUGACCACCCGUCUUGUAUUGGGAAAGGUACAUUGUCUAAUAACUC
rnacentral:lncRNA from 1 species